GGAACGCUGGGCGGCCGGCUGGGCUGCGCGCUCCCGCGGCUUGGGUGGGGAUUGGCUCUUGGACCACCCCUUGGGAUCCCACCGAGAUCGCGGUAAAAGUGGUGAUGGAGUCUUGCUAUUCCUCAAGCUGGUCUCAAACUCCUGAGCUCAUCAGAUCUCCCUGCCUCAGCUUCCCAGAGUGCUGGGAUUAUAGGCGUGAGUCACCGCACCAGGCCUAGUUUUACUAUCUUCAUUCAACAGUCAAGACAAAUGGGCAAAGCAGAUAUCAAGAAAAGAGAAGAAUUUGAGAAGGGCUGGUCUAUAUUUAGCACAGCUUGAUGACCCAAAGGCCAGAUGGCAACAAAGGAAGAAGAAGAGGUUUGGAUGCUGGGGAUGGAGGUGGCCUCAGACCGGACUCUUAGGGAAGAACGCUGGGGCUCCCGGCCUUUGGAGAUCUGGGGACUACAACUAUUUUUCAUCCUUGAGUUUGCCUUUAGGAUUUCUGCAUGUCUUCUAAAGAAACUUUCCUUUUUCUAUUUUUAAGCAGUCAAUUCCACCAAACACAUUUUAACUUUUGAUUUGAAAUCAAGAGUUUCUUUCCUCAUAAUUUUUGUUUAUUCAGAAGAACCAUAAGUUUUGAUUAUCUCU